CCGGCCCUCCGCGAGCACCCGCGGCGGAUCGGGUUCCGGACCCGGUCCGAUCCCGUUCCCACCGAGGGGCUGUCCGCGAUCAUGGAGGUGUCCUCGGACGGCGUCGAAUCCUUCUCCAGUCCGCGACGCUACGGCUUGGAUGGUCCACCCGACCCGUCUUGAAACACGGACCAAGGAGUCUAACAUGCGCGCGAGUCGUUGGGUCGGACACGCUCCGCUAAACCCAUAGGCGCAAUGAAAGUGAAGGCCGCCGUCGGGCGGCCGAGGGAGGACGGGGCCGCUCGCGCGUUCCGGCGCGCGACGGUCCCCGCACCCCCGGGGCGUCUGAUCCCUCAUCGCGAGGGGAGGCGCACCCAGAGCGCACACGUUGGGACCCGAAAGAUGGUGAACUAUGCCUGGCCAGGACGAAGUCAGGGGAAACCCUGAUGGAGGUCCGUAGCGAUUCUGACGUGCAAAUCGAUCGUCGGAGCUGGGUAUAGGGGCGAAAGACUAAUCGAACCAUCUAGUAGCUGGUUCCCUCCGAAGUUUCCCUCAGGAUAGCUUGCGCUCGGAGGAGAGUCUCAUCCGGUAAAGCGAAUGAUUAGAGGCCUUGGGGCCGAAACGGCUUCAACCUAUUCUCAAACUUUAAAUGGGUGAGAACUCCGGCUUGCUCGACUUGUCGAAGCCGGAGACGGGGCUCCGGCCCCCGGGAUCGGAGUGCAUAGUGGGCCACUUUUGGUAAGCAGAACUGGCGCUGUGGGAUGAACCAAACGACGGGUUAAGGCGCCCGAAUCGACGCUCAUGGGAAACCAUGAAAGGUGUUGGUUGCUUAAGACAGCAGGACGGUGGCCAUGGAAGUCGGAAUCCGCUAAGGAGUGUGUAAUAACUCACCUGCCGAAGCAACUAGCCCUGAAAAUGGAUGGCGCUGAAGCGUCGUGCCUAUACCCGGCCGUCGCGGCAGGGCGGACCCGCGAGGGUGCCGUUCGAUGCGGCGACGAGUAGGAGGGUCGCGGCGGCGCGCGCAGAAGGGUCUGGGCUCGAGCCUGCCUGGAGCCGCCGCCGGUGCAGAUCUUGGUGGUAGUAGCAAAUACUCCAGCGAGGCCCUGGAGGACUGAUGUGGAGAAGGGUUUCGUGUGAACAGCCGUUGCACACGAGUCAGUCGAUCCUAAGCCCUAGGAGAAAUCCGACGCCAACGGCGACGGGAAAAGCGAGAGAGACUGAGAAAGAAACCCGUUGAUCGGGCGAAAGGGAAUCCGGUUCCUAUUCCGGAACCCGGCAGCGGAACCGCUGUUUGUCGGGCCCUCACAAGGGGUUCGUCAGGGUAACCUAAAAGGGCCCGGAGACGCCGUCGGGAGCCCCGGAAAGAGUUUUCUUUUCUGCAUGAGCGUUCGAGUUCCCUGGAAUCCU
rnacentral:rRNA from 1 species